rnacentral:tRNA from 2 species
AGAGACUUAGGAUAACCGCUAGACCAAAAGCCUUCAAAGCUUUAAGUAGGAGUGAAAAUCUCCUAGUUUCUG